UCACGUUGAGCCUCAUCAACAGGCCGCAGUCAGAUCCACGCCAGGCAACGGGGGCGUGGG
ncrna:unclassified sequences Glutamine-II riboswitch (downstream peptide RNA)